UUCCUAGCUAGAUAAAAACUGAGACUCACGAUCAUCAGAUAUCCAGUUUUUGUACUGGAUCCCCAGAGGAAGACUAGAUCCAUCUUGCUACCUCUGGACUUUUUACAGGAUCACCUCUACUCCACAGAACCACAUCUGUUACUCCAGGAGGAUUUAUUUGGACUACUUCCAACACCCUAACCAACAAGGGGCCAGCUUUUUCUUUCCUUGUUAAAGUGUCUUUAUCUCAAGCCACAAGUUUUCCACAUUUUACCCUUCUGAUUCUCCUCCUGAUCUUGCUGAUGAAGAUGAGAAUGAGUCAGUGGCUGUGUGGAUCUUGGUUGUUAGCUGGGGUUAAACCACAGCACAGUAUCACAAAGCUAUAUCAUCACCCAAGAAAGACCUGUCUUUGGCCCUGAACGGUUAAAGAAGUAGGAUCUGAAAAUCAAGAGAAAAUUAAAUACAGCCUUCAUGCCAGAUUCCAGCAUCAUGUUGCCACUCACAGUGAUUUUGCUACAAGUACGGUAGUUUUGGUAGACCUAAUGGAGUUUCUUACGUUUUCUAGUAUGUUGUAUAGUAAACUGCAGAUUCUUGUUAGAAUCAUAGAAUCAAAUAGAUUGGAGAACACCUGUCCUAGGGUGACUAUGAUGCUUGUAUCCCCAAUUGUCUGCUCUGCUUAUGCUGAAUAUUGAGUUCUGUGCUUGUAAAACUAUCUCUGAGAGUGACUGGGGACAGAAGGAGAAGCAAUGGAAUGUCUGAGGUGGUUGUAUCCAAAAGCACAGAUUCAGCUUUCUCUCUCCUGGACUGUGUUGUCUGCAGCAGGGACAACCAGCAGAAGAGAGCUCUCCCUUGCUUUUAGCUAGUUGUUUUGGGGUUUUGUUUUUUGGUUGGUUUGUUUGUUUGUUUUUAGCUGAGGCAGAAAAGUUUCCCAGACUGGGGCUUUUCUUUUUCUUGGAACUGAUCAGCCUGCUCUGGACUGAAAACCCAGAAAAACACCAGGAGCUCACACCUGUGGCCCACUGGGGCUUGGGAUGUGGCGUUUUCCAGUGCAAGAAGGACUGAGAAGAGACUUAGAGAGCUGAGCUACACCCCAUGACAAGGACUUUCUGAAUUUGCUAUCUCUUUAGA